rnacentral:rRNA from 1 species
UACAGAGGUCUCAAGCGUUGUUCGGAAUUACUGGGCGUAAAGGGCUCGUAGGCGGCCAACUAAGUCAGACGUGAAAUCCCUCGGCUUAACCGGGGAACUGCGUCUGAUACUGGAUGGCUUGAGUUCGGGAGAGGGAUGCGGAAUUCCAGGUGUAGCGGUGAAAUGCGUAGAUAUCUGGAGGAACACCGGUGGCGAAGGCGGCAUCCUGGACCGACACUGACGCUGAGGAGCGAAAGCCAGGGGAGCAAACGGG